rnacentral:lncRNA from 1 species
AUAGCUCGUGAAGGAUAUGGGUAUAAGUGUCUCUUCGACCUAAGAUCACCAUAGUGACUUGCAAGCAACUCACCGCGCUUUGGUACCGAACUAUCUGAAUUUUUAAUUCAGUAAUGAAAGAUUUCUGAGUGAAGGAGGAAAACUGCUUUUCCUCGUAGGAUCUUCCAGAUUUCACCAAAUCUGGGGUGGAAUAAAUUUAAAAAAUUUUAUCCUACAUUUAUUUCAGAU